UUGAAAAGCCAUUUGAAGACGAACUUACAGCAGCUUCUCUUAACAAGGAAUGUGGUCACAUGUCAAAGUUUCCAGGUUAUUGCAGAGACCAACAUUUCGUCCCAAAUCAAUUUGUGCAACAGAAAAGCCAUACAGGGCUGAUUCCUAAGGACUGCAGUAUCCAGGCUCCCUUGUCCUUAGCUUCUGGUUGGGUUUGGCCAAUGAGAGACAACAA